rnacentral:rRNA from 1 species
CCUACGGGUGGCAGCAGUGGGGAAUAUUGGACAAUGGGCGAAAGCCUGAUCCAGCCAUGCCGCGUGUGUGAAGAAGGCCUUCGGGUUGUAAAGCACUUUCAGUGGGGAAGAAAGCCUUGGGGCUAAUACCCUCGAGGAAGGACAUCACCCACAGAGGAAGCACCGGCUAACUCCGUGCCAGCAGCCGCGGUAAUACGGAGGGUGCGAGCGUUAAUCGGAAUUACUGGGCGUAAAGCGCGCGUAGGCGGUCUGAUAAGCCGGUUGUGAAAGCCCCGGGCUCAACCUGGGAACGGCAUCCGGAACUGUCAGGCUAGAGUGCAGGAGAGGAAGGUAGAAUUCCCGGUGUAGCGGUGAAAUGCGUAGAGAUCGGGAGGAAUACCAGUGGCGAAGGCGGCCUUCUGGACUGACACUGACGCUGAGGUGCGAAAGCGUGGGUAGCAAACAGGAUUAGAUACCCUAGUAGUC